rnacentral:misc_RNA from 1 species
GAUGAAGAACGCAGCGAAAUGCGAUAAGUAAUGUGAAUUGCAGAAUUCAGUGAAUCAUCGAAUCUUAGAACGCACAUUGCGCCCGCCAGUAUUCUGGCGGGCAUGCCUGUUCGAGCGUCAUUACAACCCUCAGGCCCCCGGGCCUGGCGUUGGGGAUCGGCGGAGCCCCCCGUGGGCACACGCCGUCCCCCAAAUGCAGUGGCGGUCCCGCCGCAGCUUCCAUCGCGUAGUAGCUAACACCUCGCGACUGGAGAGCGGCGCGGCCACGCCGUAAAACACCCAACUCUUCUGAAGUUGACCUCGAAUCAGGUAGGAAUACCCGCUGAACUUAAGCAUAUCAAUAAGCGGAGGA